rnacentral:rRNA from 2 species
GGGGGAUAUUGCACAAUGGGGGAAACCCUGAUGCAGCGACGCCGCGUGGAGGAAGAAGGUUUUCGGAUUGUAAACUCCUGUCGUUAGGGACGAUAAUGACGGUACCUAACAAGAAAGCACCGGCUAACUACGUGCCAGCAGCCGCGGUAAAACGUAGGGUGCAAGCGUUGUCCGGAAUUACUGGGUGUAAAGGGAGCGCAGGCGGACCGGCAAGUUGGAAGUGAAAACUAUGGGCUCAACCCAUAAAUUGCUUUCAAAACUGCUGGCCUUGAGUAGUGCAGAGGUAGGUGGAAUUCCCGGUGUAGCGGUGGAAUGCGUAGAUAUCGGGAGGAACACCAGUGGCGAAGGCGACCUACUGGGCACCAACUGACGCUGAGGCUCGAAAGCAUGGGUAGCAAACAGGAUUAGAUACCCUGGUAGUCCAUGCCGUAAACGAUGAUUACUAGGUGUUGGAGGAUUGACCCCUUCAGUGCCGCAGUUAACACAAUAAGUAAUCCACCUGGGGAGUACGACCGCAAGGUUGAAACUCAAAGGAAUUGACGGGGGCCCGCACAAGCAGUGGAGUAUGUGGUUUAAUUCGAAGCAACGCGAAGAACCUUACCAGGUCUUGACAUCCGAUGCAUAGCUUAGAGAUAAGUGAAGUCCUUCGGGACAUCGAGACAGGUGGUGCAUGGUUGUCGUCAGCUCGUGUCGUGAGAUGUUGGGUUAAGUCCCGCAACGAGCGCAACCCUUAUUGCCAGUUACUACGCAAGAGGACUCUGGCGAGACUGCCGUUGACAAAACGGAGGAAGGUGGGGAUGACGUCAAAUCAUCAUGCCCUUUAUGACCUGGGCUACACACGUACUACAAUGGCGUUUAACAAAGAGAAGCAAGACCGCGAGGUGGAGCAAAACUCAAAAACAACGUCUCAGUUCAAAUUGCAGGCUGCAACUCGCCUGCAUGAAGUCGGAAUUGCUAGUAAUCGCGGAUCAGCAUGCCGCGGUGAAUACGUUCCCG